GGUGACCUCGGAUCAGGUA
rnacentral:rRNA from 2 species